GACGAACCGUGCGAACGUUGUCCGGAAUUACUGGGCGUAAAGAGCGUGUAGGCGGCCAGACAGGUCCGUUGUGAAAACUCGAGGCUCAACCUCGAGACGCCGAUGGAAACCGUCUGGCUAGAGUCCGGAAGAGGAGAGUGGAAUUCCUGGUGUAGCGGUGAAAUGCGCAGAUAUCAGGAAGAACACCCGUGGCUAAGGCGGCUCUCUAGUACGGUACUGACGCUGAGGCGCGAAAGCGUGGGGAGCAAACAGG
rnacentral:rRNA from 1 species